AGCUAGUUGGUGAGGUAAUGGCCCACCAAGGCGACGAUCGGUAGCCGGACUGAGAGGUUGAACGGCCACAUUGGGACUGAGACACGGCCCAGACUCCUACGGGAGGCAGCAGUGGGGAAUAUUGCACAAUGGGGGAAACCCUGAUGCAGCGACGCCGCGUGGAGGAAGAAGGUCUUCGGAUUGUAAACUCCUGUUGUUGAGGAAGAUAAUGACGGUACUCAACAAGGAAGUGACGGCUAACUACGUGCCAGCAGCCGCGGUAAAACGUAGGUCACAAGCGUUGUCCGGAAUUACUGGGUGUAAAGGGAGCGCAGGCGGGAAGACAAGUUGGAAGUGAAAUCUAUGGGCUCAACCCAUAAACUGCUUUCAAAACUGUUUUUCUUGAGUAGUGCAGAGGUAGGCGGAAUUCCCGGUGUAGCGGUGGAAUGCGUAGAUAUCGGGAGGAACACCAGUGGCGAAGGCGGCCUACUGGGCACCAACUGACGCUGAGGCUCGAAAGUGUGGGUAGCAAACAGGAUUAGAUACCCUGGUAGUCCACACCGUAAACGAUGAUUACUAGGUGUUGGAGGAUUGACCCCUUCAGUGCCGCAGUUAACACAAUGAGUAAUCCACCUGGGGAGUACGACCGCAAGGUUGAAGCUCAAAGGAAUUGACGGGGGCCCGCACAAGCAGUGGAGUAUGUGGUUUAAUUCGACGCAACGCGAAGAACCUUACCAAGUCUUGACAUCCUGCGACGCACAUAGAAAUAUGUGUUUCCUUCGGGACGCAGAGACAGGUGGUGCAUGGUUGUCGUCAGCUCGUGUCGUGAGAUGUUGGGUUAAGUCCCGCAACGAGCGCAACCCUUACUGUCAGUUACUACGCAAGAGGACUCUGGCAGGACUGCCGUUGACAAAACGGAGGAAGGUGGGGAUGACGUCAAAUCAUCAUGCCCUUUAUGACUUGGGCUACACACGUACUACAAUGGCGUUAAACAAAGAGAAGCAAGACCGCGAGGUGGAGCAAAACUCAGAAACAACGUCCCAGUUCGGACUGCAGGCUGCAACUCGCCUGCACGAAGUCGGAAUUGCUAGUAAUCGUGGAUCAGCAUGCCACGGUGAAUACGUUCCCGGGCCUUGUACACACCGCCCGUCACACCAUGAGAGCCGGGGGGACCCGAAGUCGGUAGUCUAACCGCAAGGAGGACGCCGCCGAAGGUAAAACUGGUGAUUGGGGUGAAGUCGUAACAAGGUAGCCGUAGGAGAACCUGCGGCUG
rnacentral:rRNA from 1 species